CAGCCGCCGCGGUAAUACGGAGGGUGCAAGCGUUAUCCGGAUUUAUUGGGUUUAAAGGGUGCGCAGGCGGAAUGAUUAGUCAGUGGUGAAAUCCUACAGCUCAACUGUAGAACUGCCAUUGAUACUGUCAUUCUUGAGUACAGUUGAAGUAGGCGGAAUGUAUCAUGUAGCAGUGAAAUGCAUAGAUAUGAUACAGAACUCCUAUAGCGAAGGCAGCUUACUAAACUGUAACUGACGCUCAGGCACGAAAGCGUGGGGAGCAAACAGGAUUAGAUACCCUGGUAGUCCACGCCGUAAACGAUGAUCACUCGUUGUUGGCAACACAUCGUCAGCGACUGAACGAAAGUAUUAAGUGAUCCACCUGGGGAGUACGAUCGCAAGGUUGAAACUCAAAGGAGUUGACGGGGGCCCGCACAAGCGGAGGAGCAUGUGGUUUAAUUCGAUGAUACGCGAGGAACCUUACCUGGGCUUAAAUGUAAGACGACAUCCCGAGAAAUCGGAACUUCCUUCGGGACGUUUUGCAAGGUGCUGCAUGGUUGUCGUCAGCUCGUGCCGUGAGGUGUCGGGUUAAGUCCCAUAACGAGCGCAACCCCUAUUCUUAGUUGCCAUCAGAUAAUGCUGGGGACUCUAAGGAAACUGCCUACGCCAGUAGUGAGGAAGGUGGGGAUGACGUCAAAUCAGCACGGCCCUUAUGUCCAGGGCUACACACGUGCUACAAUGGUCGGUACAGAGGGUCGCUACCUGGUGACAGGAUACUAAUCUCAAAAACCGGUCUCAGUUCGGAUCCGAGUCUGCAACUCGACUCCGUGAAGUUGGAUUCGCUAGUAAUCGCAUAUCAGCAAUGGUGCGGUGAAUACGUUCCCGGGCCUUGUACACACCGCCCGUCAAGCCAUGGAAGCUGGGGGUACCUGAAGUCCGUGACCGCAAGGAGCGGCCUAGGGUAAAACUAGUGACUGGGGCUAAGUCGUAACAAGGUAACCGUA
rnacentral:rRNA from 1 species